GCGGGUCCCUGGCUAAGGCUCCUCCCCGACGAACCCCAUUCCUGCUUUCCCGCUCAAAUGUUGCAUUUUCUAAGACCUCCCUGGCCCGCCAUACGCCGAUCCUGAACCUACGAAAACCCAAGACUGCGGGCACGGUGGCUCAUGCCUGUAAUCCCAGCACUUUGGGAGGCCGAGGCGGGCAGAUCACGAGGUCAAGAAGUCGAGACCAGCCUUGCUAACAUGGCGAAACCCUGACUCUACUGAAAAUACAAAAAUUAGCUGGGCGUGAUGGCGUGCGCGCCUGUAGUCCCAGCUGCUCGGGAGGCUGAGGUAGGAGAAUCGCUUCAAUCCGGGAGGUGGAGGUUGCGGUAAGCAGAGAUUGCGCCACUGCACUCUAGCCUGGCGACAGAGACUCCUUCAAAAACAACAACAACAACAACAACAACAACAAAACAAAACCUCCCAAGACCCUAGUGGGCAGACACACAGCCAGCCAGACAUGGAGAGGAGCACAUUAGCAGAAGAAGACGCAAGUGGCUGGUCCUCGAGAGGACGUUGAGAGGAGCAUGCCAGCAGAAGAGCACACAACGACAGGCACCGACACACCACCGGCAGGCCAUGCACCAGCAGAAUGAUGCGGAGUUUGACGGGGCAGUCAGAGAAGAGCCUGGGCCGCCAAGGGGCCCGACUCCAGGGGAAAACCAUCUCCCUUCUGGCUCCCCCAUCUGCUGAGAGCUACUUCUACUCAAUAAAACCUUGCACUCAUUCUCCAAGCCCACGUGUAAUCCGAUUCUUCAGUGUCACCUCCCAAAUGUGGAAAUGCAUUGUCUUUCUUCUUUCCUAGACCAGUGGUCCUCAAACUUGAGCAGAGCCCAUAUUCACAAUGUAUCACACUUACCUCGAUGUAUUGUCUGGAGUUUCCUAGGCUGUGUCCUUUGCCUGGAAUGCUCUCUCUUGCUGGCUGGCUUCUUCCCACCAGCUGUGGCCAGGGCUGCUCCUUAUUCCUUCGUCAAAACUCCGUCUGCUGGGUGUGGUGCCUCACACCUGUAAUCCCAGCACUUUGAGAGGCCAAGGUGGGAGUAUCGUUUGAGCCCAGGAGUUCAAGACAAGCCUGGACAACAGAGCAAGACCCUGUCUCUACCAAAGAAAAGAAAAGAAAAGAAAAGAAACAGCCACUUUCUCUUCCAUGAGCCAGUUUAUGUUUUCUUCACGGCAUUUGUUACAAAUCACAAAUGUGGAGGAAAAAUGAAGGCAAAGCAAAAUAACAGGCAAGUCUGAAAACAAAAGUGUUGCCAGUCACGCUAAGCCUCAGGCACGCAUUCUGAAUGAAGCUAAAGUUUAAAGUCCCCUCUGAUAGAUUUGUGACUUAAAUGUCCACACUAGCAAGUGUGUUUCUCACAUGGAGAAGUAGCACGAUUUUAUGUCAGGAAAGGGAUGAGAACAUGCUUCUUGAACACAUACAAUGCUGAAGACAUUUCCUGGAAAACCAUUGGCCUUUGCUUAGGACAGUUGCAUCACACAGAGAUGUUUGUGGUUCAGAUUUAUAAGAAACAUGGGAACUGAAGCCAAAGCACUACUUUUGCUCAGUAUAACCAGGUGCCAGAUCUAAAGUGUUAGGCAGGUUCCUAUAUGUAUGUUAGAAAAAAGUUGCCCAAGUUUUGGACAAUUCCUUUUCCAUCUCUCUUACAAGUCAACAAAUCGAAGCAAUAAACUAUUCUCUGAAGAAAACAAAUUUAUUUGGUUGAUUCAAACUUUUAAUGAGACUAUUACUCCCCUGUGUGCCUUUCCUUUCUCUGGUUCUAGAAAUACAUCUAGAAAGGGGGAAAAUGUUAAUAUAUUUUCUACUGACUUUAUAUCACAAAUGCUUAGCUUAGAGGGUGGACUCUGAGGAACAGUGUCCUUUCCAAAUAUUAUAAAACUUUGUGUUCAUUCUGGAAAAACAAACAAAAUUAAUCACAAUGAUUUCCUGCUUUGGAGCAAUGAGAAAUGGGAGGGAAACUUCACCUUUUCAUAGCUUUUGAUGUUUGCACCAUGUGAAUUACCCACCCCCAAAUUUAAAAUACGAAUUUUUGAAAAAGUGUUUACCUCUGAGAAGAGAAACUAGUAGUGAAGAAUGAGGAGCUGUAGAUUUUUAACGAUUCUGAUGUAUUUGCAUUUUUCCCAAUGUUCAUGAAUAAAUAAAUGUGCAUUCAUAAUUAAAAAGAAUAAACAACCUGGAAAAAACAAAAAAAGCUCUGCGUUCACUGAUCUCUAAAUAAGAAAAGAUAAGACUUGUAGUGUGGCCUUGUACUUGUACAUCUUUUCCAUGUGCCAAAGAGCUACCCCAUGGUCAAGCCAAGUGGUGAUUAUGUAGCUUUCUCUGAACAGACAUAAUAGGGCUACACAUUCACUGUGAAAAAGCUGCAGACAGAUGACACCAGUCAACAGAACACCCUACACAGAAACUGUAAAACCAUUUUAAC
rnacentral:lncRNA from 1 species